UACGGGGGGGGCAAGCGUUGUUCGGAAUUACUGGGCGUAAAGGGCUCGUAGGUGGCCAACUAAGUCGGACGUGAAAUCCCUCGGCUUAACCGGGGAACUGCAUCCGAUACUGGAUGGCUUGAGUUCGGGAGAGGGAUGCGGAAUUCCAGGUGUAGCGGUGAAAUGCGUAGAUAUCUGGAGGAACACCGGUGGCGAAGGCGGCAUCCUGGACCGACACUGACGCUGAGGAGCGAAAGCCAGGGGAGCAAACGGGG
rnacentral:rRNA from 1 species